CAGCCCCUCGAGUGGUGGGGAUGAUUAUUUGGCCUAAAGCGUCCGUAGCCGGCCGAGCAAGUCUUCCGUUAAAUCCAGCGUCUCAAGCGUUGGACCGCGGGAGAUACUACACGGCUAGAGAGUGGGAGAGGUCAGCGGUAUUCUGGGGGUAGGGGCGAAAUCCUUUGAUCCCCGGAGGACCACCAGUGGCGAAGGCUGCUGACUAGAACACGUCUGACGGUCAGGGACGAAAGCUGGGGUAGCGAACCGGAUUAGAUACCCGCGUAGUCC
rnacentral:rRNA from 1 species